ACAAGGGCAGAGUCAGUGGUACCCUACCUACCCUCGCCACGCUGCCGCUCCAAGGAUGCAGGGGAAGGAAUAUAUUUUGUAUUUUUCGUCACACCUCUUUACAAAAUCACCUGUUCCUUUGAGAUUUUGCAUUUCUAAUCAACGCGUUUUUGUUCGUUAAAUCCACGUUGGGUUUUUAUGAAUGAAAUCUUUCACAAGAUAAUGCGACGAUGUCGUCUUAAAUGACUGAAACAGAAAUAAGCACGUCACGAACGUCCAAUGUAAUGUAUCUGUGUGAUGGGGAAAAUACUCAACCAGGAUGGGUAAUAAGCAAACCAUAUUUACUGAUGAACAGUUCGAGGCAUAUCAGGACUGCACAUUCUUCACGCGCAAAGAAAUCCUACAGUUACAUGGGAGAUUCCACGAGCUGGCUCCUCACCUAGUACCACUGGACUACACCAACCAGCCUGACAUCAGACUCCCCCUGGCACUCAUCGUCAGCAUGCCAG